rnacentral:lncRNA from 1 species
ACAACACACAGCACAGUUUUCAUGUUUGUUAUGUGUUUUCUCUUCCUUAUAGAUCUGUUAGAGCCACGUCAAGGACUGCUGUGUCCAGGAGUGGAGAAAGGCUUAUGUGAGACAAGAGACUCUACUGUCAGAAGAAAGCAAGUGAUUUCAUCCUAGGUAACAGCUGACUCCUAUCUUCAGUUUUGUGUUCCUCGAAGAAUUCACUAGGAAAAUUCACGUGGAGCAACUCCAGCUAAAGAAGCAUGAAGACUAGUCUACUGGGGAAAGAAGAAAUGGGUUUCCAUGGACCUAUCAAUGAUACUCAUCACAGCUUUGUCUUUGCCGAGAAUCUACUCACCUACUUCAGCUUCUGCAUUAAAUUCCACUGAUCCCUGCUUGAGACAGCAAUGCCCAAGAUUGAUCUUAAAGGCUAAUGGAUUCUGCAAUUUGGUGUGCAUCAGCUUUUGGAGUGAGCCUCUCAAAUCUCUACAGACCAAUGGAGACCAAGCAAGAUGCUCUCUAGCUGAACUAAGAAGAAAGGCAGCAAGUUUGGCCCAAAAGGUAGGAGAAGAUCUCAAUGCUCAGUGUGGGUCUGGUCACAGAGGAAAGUUACCACAAUGACACAAGACUAGAAGUCAUUCUGUCAUAACGAGUGAGUGAUAAGCAAUUAGUGUCUACCUGCUUUGAUAUGUAAAACACCGUUGCCAUCAAAGUCCAGGGGAAAAAGAAUCAUGGUUUUAUAAAUACAGCUUUAAACACCAUAUUUACAGAUGUAUUUGAAACUUCUGACUGCUUUGAGUAAGUGGUCUCCUUGAAAAUG